UUUUAGCCCUGAUGGUAGCGGCAUCCUUUUGCUUUUUUCUUUAAAAAGCAAAAGAUAUAGCGGACAGCAGGAAUUAGC
rnacentral:sRNA from 1 species